rnacentral:rRNA from 1 species
GACAGAGGUGCCGAGCGUUAGGCGGAAUCACUGGGCUUAAAGCGUGUGUAGGCGGAGUUCUAAGUACCUUGUGAAAUCCCACGGCUUAACCGUGGAACUGCUUGGUAUACUGGUUCUCUUGGGCCAUCUAGGGGCUACUGGAACAAACGGUGGAGCGGUGAAAUGCGUAGAUAUCAGGAGGAACACCGAUGGCGAAGGCAGCUCGCUGGGACGGUACUGACGCUGAGGCGCGAAAGCGUGGGGAGCAAACAGG